rnacentral:rRNA from 1 species
UAAAGAUUCAUCGCUGAUAGAUAGGCAUGCGUUCCAUUAGGCAGUUGGCGGGGUAACGGCCCACCAAACCGACGAUGGAUAGGGGUUCUGAGAGGAAGGUCCCCCACAUUGGUACUGAGACACGGACCAAACUCCUACGGGAGGCAGCAGUGAGGAAUAUUGGUCAAUGGGCGUAAGCCUGAACCAGCCAAGUCGCGUGAGGGAUGAAGGUUCUAUGGAUCGUAAACCUCUUUUAUAAGGGAAUAAAGUGCGGGACGUGUCCCGUUUUGUAUGUACCUUAUGAAUAAGGAUCGGCUAACUCCGUGCCAGCAGCCGCGGUAAUACGGAGGAUCCGAGCGUUAUCCGGAUUUAUUGGGUUUAAAGGGUGCGUAGGCGGCCUUUUAAGUCAGCGGUGAAAGUCUGUGGCUCAACCAUAGAAUUGCCGUUGAAACUGGGAGGCUUGAGUAUGUUUGAGGCAGGCGGAAUGCGUGGUGUAGCGGUGAAAUGCUUAGAUAUCACGCAGAACCCCGAUUGCGAAGGCAGCCUGCCAAGCCAUGACUGACGCUGAUGCACGAAAGUGUGGGGAUCAAACAGGAUUAGAUACCCUGGUAGUCCACGCAGUAAACGAUGAUCACUAGCUGUUUGCGAUACACAGUAA